rnacentral:tRNA from 1 species
GGAAGAGAUGCGCUCCCCGGUGGGACGUCCGGCCUUCAAAGCCGGGAAGGGCCGCCAGCCGGUCCUUGGUGGGUUCGACUCCCACUCUUUUCCG